GGGGAAGGGUAGCUUGCUACCUGACCUAGCGGCGGACGGGUGAGUAAUGCUUAGGAAUCUGCCUAUUAGUGGGGGACAACAUUCCGAAAGGAAUGCUAAUACCGCAUACGCCCUACGGGGGAAAGCAGGGGAUCUUCGGACCUUGCGCUAAUAGAUGAGCCUAAGUCAGAUUAGCUAGUUGGUGGGGUAAAGGCCUACCAAGGCGACGAUCUGUAGCGGGUCUGAGAGGAUGAUCCGCCACACUGGGACUGAGACACGGCCCAGACUCCUACGGGAGGCAGCAGUGGGGAAUAUUGGACAAUGGGCGAAAGCCUGAUCCAGCCAUGCCGCGUGUGUGAAGAAGGCCUUUUGGUUGUAAAGCACUUUAAGCGAGGAGGAGGCUACUGAGAUUAAUACUCUUGGAUAGUGGACGUUACUCGCAGAAUAAGCACCGGCUAACUCUGUGCUCAGCAGCCGCGGUAAUACAGAGGGUGCGAGCGUUAAUCGGAUUACUGGCGUAA
rnacentral:rRNA from 1 species